rnacentral:rRNA from 1 species
CCACACGAACGUUAUUCGGAAUUACUGGGCUUAAAGGGUGCGUAGGCUGCGCGGAAAGUUGGGUGUGAAAUCCCUCGGCUCAACCGAGGAACUGCGCCCAAAACUGCCGUGCUCGAGGAAGAUAGAGGUAAGCGGAACUUACGGUGGAGCGGUGAAAUGCGUUGAUAUCGUAAGGAACACCUGUGGCGAAAGCGGCUUACUGGGUCUUUUCUGACGCUGAUGCACGAAAGCUAGGGGAGCAAACGGG